rnacentral:rRNA from 1 species
UACGUAGGGUGCGAGCGUUGUCCGGAAUUAUUGGGCGUAAAGAGCUUGUAGGCGGUUUGUCGCGUCUGCUGUGAAAAUCCGGGGCUCAACCCCGGACUUGCAGUGGGUACGGGCAGACUAGAGUGUGGUAGGGGAGACUGGAAUUCCUGGUGUAGCGGUGAAAUGCGCAGAUAUCAGGAGGAACACCGGCGGCGAAGGCGGCACUCUGGGCCGGUACUGACGCUGAGGAGCGAAAGCGUGGGUAGCAAACAGG